UCGGUUUCUCUCUGGUCUUACAUGAUGCA
rnacentral:piRNA from 1 species